rnacentral:rRNA from 1 species
AAGCAAUAAGUGAUCCACCUGGGGAGUACGGCGGCAACGCUGAAACUCAAAGGAAUUGACGGGGGCCCGCACAAGCGGAGGAACAUGUGGUUUAAUUCGAUGAUACGCGAGGAACCUUACCUGGGCUUGAAAGGGGAUUGACCUCCCGGGAAACCGGGAUUCUCUUCGGAGCAAUCUCCUAGGUGCUGCAUGGUUGUCGUCAGCUCGUGCCGUGAGGUGUCGGGUUAAGUCCCAUAACGAGCGCAACCCCUAUUGUUAGUUGCCAGCGGGUAAUGCCAGGAACUCUAACGAAACUGCCGGUGUAAACCGAGAGGAAGGUGGGGAUGACGUCAAAUCAGCAUGGCCCUUAUGUCCAGGGCUACACACGUGUUACAAUGGCCGGCACAAAGGGCAGCUACUAGGUGACUAGAUGCUAAUCUCUAAAACCGGUCUCA